rnacentral:rRNA from 1 species
GUCUGUAGCCAUACCACCCUGUACAGACUUGAGCCAUUCUGACCUCAAAAGCUAAGAAGGGUCAUAUCUGGUUAUUAUUUGAAAGGCAAAGUAUCCCAAUUUAAUGGAAUCUGGAAUUUUAAAAACU